GCAACACAAAACAGGUUGUCUAGGAAUCGCUGUGGACUACAAAUUCCGCAACAUACUUGUUCCCCUUUUUAACAACACAAAUGAAAUAAGCAUUUUUUGCGCAUAAUUUUGAUAUUUUUAACGGCAAUGUUAGCUGAGUCUAGAGAUCCAAAGCCAAUUGGAUCAGAAGCACAAUGGAAGUCCUCCAUCAUUGUGAACAAUAAACAUCCACGGAAUGAAAACAGGCACCAGCGACAUGCAUCCGGCCAAAGAAGUAGCUUUCUGGGACUGGAAACAAAGACAGAGCUGGUCUGGGAGGACUGGGAUGUGGGUAGAGAAUUCACCAAGUCACUAGUGUUAAAGAAUAUUGGCCUCAAGAUCCAGAAACUGCAGUUGAGACCUCCAGUGUCAAAAUUCUUCACCAUGUCAGUUUCCCGGAUCAUUGCUGUCAGCCCAGGAACUACUUUGUCCAUACCAGUCACAUUUAGACCAUCCGAGAGGUGUGCGUAUGAUGACAGCAUUGAGUUCCACGGCAAAAGUGGCAGCUUCCAAGUAUUCCUUCGUGCUAUUAUUCCCUAUCCUGCCUUGGAAGUGCCAGACACGUUGCUCCUUCCGCUCUGUGCUGUUCAUCAGUCUGCUUCUACUACCUUCCAGCUAAAAAAUCUGAGCAAACUCCACACAUACUUCAAGUGGGACUGUUCAGAGCCUUUCCAAGUGAAUCCAGCCCAAGGUGUGCUGAAGCCCAGCGAUGUGCUUGACAUCACUGUCCUGUUCAAACCACAGGCAGCGCUGUUGUUUCAUAAACACGCCUAUUGUAGCUUUGGAGAGAAAGGAGGUGAAACCAACAGCUGCUGCACAGUGCUUCUUCAGGGAGUUGCCAAGUACCCAUGUCUUCAUCUGAGAAGAUCAACUUCCAAGGGUGAAAAAGAUUCUGAUGAUUCAGUGAUUAACUUUGGUUCUGUACCAAUCGGCAAAAGUGCACAAAAGUGUUUUGACAUCUACAAUUCCUCACAUGUAACUGCAUUUUUCUCUCUUACACGUCUUUCUGGAGGCGUGCCCUUGUUGGGGUCUGAGUUCACCUGUGAUAUCAGCAGCAGUAAUGUUGGUCCGGGUGAAACUGUGUCAGCACAAGUCACCUUUGCACCUAUGGUUGCCGAUGCUGUUUCUGUUGAGUAUUUGACAGUAGAGUGCAAAGGGGCACUCAACAAAACAGCGCUUAAGCUCACUGGAAGCUGUGAAGGUCCUAAGGUGUCAUUGUCUUCAUCUGUGGUUGACUUUGGCUGUAUUAAAGAAGGAGCAACAGCCUCAAAGACAAUUGAUAUGAUUAAUUAUUCAUGCGCUGAGGCAACCUAUCAAUGGGACCUUGACUGUGCUGGGCACAGCGUGUUCAGCAUCCGACCACAGUGUGGCACUAUACAACAACAGAGCAGUGUAACGCUGGCUAUUAACUACCUCCCUACCAUGCCUAUUGCAUGUCACAGAAGUAUACCUUGUUUUAUACAUCAUGGGGAGCCUUUGUUCCUUGACCUGAUUGGUACCUGUCAUUCAGGUGCCCAGGAACCAGAUGUACUGACACCAGAGCAUUUGUCAGACAGUAAAAAGGAUCAGUCAGACAUGAUUAGUGCUUCGAUGCCAAGCUAUAGCACAUACCUGGAUGAGUCAAGCCGACAACCUGAUGGUUCAAGUGUUUUUUCAAGCACUCCUAGGGACAACGACAAACGUUGCUCGGUGGAGGUGGAUUCACUUCUGAGCCGUUCACCUUCAUCCUCCACACAUGUAUCUGUGGUGCCUAGUGAGCUGCUGUUUCAUCACAGUUGCUCCAGCUUGUCUUCCUCCCUUACACCUUCUCAGGCCGUCGCCAUCACCAAUUACACCACUGUGAAAAUCACGCUGGUGUGGACCAUUGCCCAAGACUCUCCGUUCUCUGUCUCUCCAAUAACAUGUGACCUGUCCCCACUAAAGUCCACCUCAUUCAGAGUGACAUACAAUCCAAAAGAGCUAAAUACACUACAUGGAGCUCAACUUGAGUGCAUGGCUGUUAAACAGCCGAGGUCUGACGAAGAGGAGAAACAGAUAUGUUUACCCUGGUGUGUCAUCGUCAGUGUGAUUGGCGACUCCUUUGAAUACGGCAAAGAGCACUUUUACCCAUGCUGCUCUCUCGAGCCAAACAAAGUGGUAUUCGCAGGCCAAAGUUUUCGAUCCUGUCAAACUGUGCUUCUCCGCAAUAACGGAGACCAGCCUCUGACUUUUUGUCGAAACCUAAACUACAGUUCAGACCCCGCCUUGGUGGCAUCAGUGUUACUAGUACCGAAAUGCGGCUUAGUCCAACCUGGGAAUCAUCAAAUCCUCACUGUUAUAACGACUCCCAAAGAAGACACUCCGAUAGAGGGACUUAAAUUGAUACUCCAGUUAAAUGGAGCCAAACACAAAAAGGAGAUAACAGUUUUCAGCAUGGUGGAAAAGGUUGGUGUGUCCCUGGAAGGUGGAGGUCAUUUGUAUUUCCAAGAUAUAUCUGUGGGCUCACACACUGAACGGACCCAUUUCAUCAGGAACAUCUGUCGCUUACCUCUAUGCUUCCAGUGGAGCAUUCCAGAGUCAGACCACAAUGUUAUCUCUGUUCAACCAGAUGCCGGUAAACUGCAGCCUAAUGAGAGCUUGUUGCAGAGUUGGUCUUUCAGGCCAAUGGAAGAGAAAACAUACACACUGGAGCCUUCUGUCUUGGUGUGGCCAGUCAACAACCCUGAAUGGGAAAAGUCAAUUAUCCCCCUCAAAGUAGUAGGAACAGGCUCCAGAGGCUUCAUACAGGCAGUUCCAGGAGUUGUUCAUCUGGAGGACACCCUGGUUGGAUGUUCUCAGUCAAUUGAUGUUCCUCUUGUGAACAACAGUAACUGCUCAGUCUGCUUCAUUCUUUUUGUUGAGCAGACGAUACAAAACGAAGAAACUCAACAGGACCCCGAACCUGAGAAAUGUACACCGACAGCUCUGCAGCUUGACCGACAACGCGGAAACAUGGCCUCACGCUCCACAGUGAUGCUCCGAGCCACAUUUAGGCCAGAUAGACAAGCCCUGUACCAGUGGACCAUCAGCUACGUCACACUAAACCGCAGUGGUGUGCCGUUGUCCUCUCCCCAACCAGUGUGUGAAAUCCGUGCUAAGGGUGUGUUCCCCAAACUACAGGUGACCGAUACAUGCAGUGGCGGCAUUGUAGCUUGGCUCAACAAGACAUUUGUUUGGGAACUCUUCUCAGUGGACAGCCUCAAUGAGCAGCUACUCUCCAUCCCCUACCCUGUGGAACACACUUAUAGAAGCCCAGCAAAGCAUAGUAUGCGCACGUACCCCACCAUCUUAAUCAAAGCCAUGUUGGAUUUUAACUUCUGUUCAGCUCCCCUGAACUCAGAACCUUCUACGUUUGUGUUGGUGUUUUACAAUCCUGGCUGCAUCCCUGUAGAGUGGACAUUCUUGUUUCCAGAGGACCAACAGGUAGACUUUAGGCACUGGACCCACUCGGAAGAGUUAUGUAACAAUGAGCUUCACCAGAUGAAGGUUGUGGAACUUUUCAACAUUUCUCCCCGUUCAGGGAUGUUGCUUUCUGGCCAGCAGAGGGCAGUGCAGUUCAGUUAUAGUCACGUCAUGAUUGGAACACAUCAGUUACCAAUCAUAUUGAAAAUUUCACACGGCAGAGAGAUCUUGUUGCACUUCCAAGGGGUGACAGUGGAUCAAGAGACGCCGUAUCUGUACUUUCUAUCCAGGCAUCAUGUUUUCACUCCUGUCAUGAUUGGGGAUUUAACACCUCCAGUGCAGAUGUAUGACCUUUACAACGGUGGUGAUAUUCCUGUCCGUUAUGAAGUGGAUGCGCAUGUGUUGUCGCAGCUACAAGAGAACAGUUUUAAUCAUGCGCUGCUGAGCUGCCUCAACCCAGUAGGAGACAUUCCACCUGGGAAGGUGGCAUCGCUGGAAUUUAUUUUCUCUCCAUUGGAGGCCAAGAUGCACAGUAUGGAUAUUCCCAUUCACAUCCAAGAUGGCGACACUACACUAAUAAGGUUUGACGGCUGUGGCUUAAGUCCCCAAACAGUGUUCACAAGCAGCGAUACCAAAUUAUCACUACCCUGUGUCCGGAGGAUACCCCUACCAGGACUGGGUGCAGCAUUUCUGUCUCAGGACAGUGUUUCUAUAGGCGACAUCCCAGUGUGCUCACAGUCUUCAAGAGUCAUCUUCCUUACGAACGUGUCCCUAAAAGAAAUCCUCUAUAAAUGGAACUUGACCCAGGUUGUACAUAUCUACCCUGAACAAGGACUUCUACAUCCAGGGGAGAGCAUCUUGUGUGUUCUGACAUUCAAGGCAACUGACUACCCUACUAUUUAUCGGCUAGAUAUCACCUGUCAGUUGACACAGCAGGCAGCGUGGGAUCAAUAUUACGAUGCUUUGGAGCGUUUGGCGCAAGAACAAGAGAAGCAGAAAAAUGAAUUCACAAUCACUGACACAGACCUUGCAGAAAGCCGUCGGGUUUUUGCCGAAAAGGUGCCUGCAACUGCUGUUCAAACAAAAGGGCUGUCACUGUGCAAGCACAAGGUGACAGGAGCUUCAUUAUUGUGUACUCUUCCUCCUAUUUGUUCCAAGAUAGCGCGAGCAGAGCAGCAGAUGCAGUCUGAUCCUGUAAAAGUCUGGAAACGCCCUGAACCGCCUCGACCUACUCUGCUGCAUCUGCUCGUGACAGCACGCUCCUAUAGGUCUCAGGAAUACCUCAGACACUUCCCUGAGCAGUUCAAUAAUCACUUCAGGUGCUUCCUCUCUACCAAGCCCCUGAGGCCAAAAAAAACCAUGUUGUGCGAUGCACGCCACCCUGAUGAGCAUCCUUCACCGACACAUGGUCCUGAGCGAAACUUCCUCGAACAUGUCAUCACCUCUGUGCUCUGGACCAUACUGGAUGAUGAAGCAUUUACUCGGCCUCUGCUUUCUUUGGCAUCUAAAACCCUUACCUACAACCCCCGAAUAAGCUCUUCCUCCCCUGUGCCAACACCCCAACCUCAAACCGGGCUGGAGGAGACAACAGCUUCAUCGGAUAUAUUGCACAGCCAAGUGGACAAUAUGAGGAGCGCAGAAUGUUUUGGGACCCGGCUGGAAAUGAAAGCAGACACUCAACGUGUACCUGCUGCCGUGUGCAAUGACAUAUUGCUCAACACCCUCCAGAAUCUGAUGACGGAGGCUGUCAGAGGAGAAUUUAACUUCACAGAGCCUUCUCGGACUGAUCACUCAUCGCAUGCCUCUGCCAGGAGGCACUCCAGUGGCAAAGUCAGGAAGGAUGAGACAGACAGAGAGAAGAUCCAAAACGAAGAAACACAACACGAACAACAAGCCUCACCAUCUGCCUAACACAGGGUUGUCCAAACUUUUUCCACCGAGGGCCACAUACUGAAAGGGCCAUUUUGAUAUUUUGGAAACCAAAAUGUGAAGCUAUGCUAAGAAGUUAUAUAUAUUUCUGGAAAAAAAAUGCAUCUCAGCUUUGUAAUAUAGGUAGGGUAGGGGUGGGCAUCAAGUCUCGCGCAUCAAUGGGAACCAGGACUAACAUUGCGAUUCUCCUGGUAUCGUUCAAAUGUUUUUAUUUUGAUUCCUAUAGUUUCCAUGCCCACUUACACCAACAAAGAAGAAUUCCUCAAGCACCAGUGAAGAAGACGUGGCUAAAAGGGUUGACAGAAGACCGAUCGUACCGGGCCUGGGCUAAGCAUGUCACAUUUGGAUCGUGUGAUCGCAAGGAUCCACACCCAAGCACAGCACAUGCACCUGAGUUAUAGAAUGACUGUAAUGCCAUCUCUCCUUGCAAGUUCUUAAUGAUAAUUGCCACGUUUUAUAAUAUCAAUAAAAUACAAAAUUAGUCAUAAUCCAGAAGUCAAACUCGCCGCUGGGUGGCCGAGUGGUUAGCAUGUUGGCCACACAGUGAGGAGUUUGCAUGUUGUCCCCGUGCUUGUGUGGGUACUCCGGUUUCCUCCCACAUUCCAAAAACAUGCAUGUUAGGUUAAUUGGCGACUCUAAAUUGUCCAUAGGUAUGAAUGUGAGUGUGAAUGGUUGUUAGUCUGUAUGUAGCCUGCGAUUGGCUGGCGACCAGUCCUGGUUGUACCCCACCUCUCGCCCAAAGUCAGCUGGCUCCAGCAUACCCCCGGGACCCUAAUGAGUAUAAGCGGCACAGGAAAUAGAUGGAUGGAAGUCAGACUCACAGCACACUGCCUCAACUACAUUGGUGUGCGUUAAUUGCGAGUAAUUAAUGACUGCCGCCACCUUCCACGAAAUAAUUAGAACAACUCGAAAUAAGAUUGGAAAUAAUCCACAAAUUGCAUGAUUACAACAGAAUAGAAGUGAUGGCCCAAUCAGUUUUUUUGCACUUUUUGGACUGGUGUGGCACCACAAGAUAUCCUCUAUUUAAUACAAGAAUGUCCAAAGUUUUGGCCUGCGGCCGUUUUUUUAAUUGACCCUAAUACAAUUAAACAACAAAAAAUUGAAAAAAAAACCCAGCAGUAAUUUUAUGAGAAUAAAGUCGAAAUGUUACAGGAAAAAAAGUCAUACUUUUACGAGAACAAAGUGAAAAUAUUAGGAACUUUUUACAACCAUGAAUGUGAAAUAUUAAAUUAAAAAUGUUAUUUUCUAAAGUUGCAAUAUGAUGAGAGUUAAGACAAAACAAAAUGAAUUUGCAAAAUUGGGAAAAUUUAAGUUGGGAAAACGUCACAAUAUCGAGUCACAAUAUUGAGAAAAAAGUUGUCAUCUUACAGGAAAAGGGUCAUUUUAUGAGAAUAAAGUCGUAAUGUUCUGAGGAAAAACCAUGUAAUUUUUAUUAGC